UACGAAGGAUGCAAGCGUUAUCCGGAUUCAUUGGGUUUAAAGGGAGCGUAGGUGGCCUUAUAAGUCAGUGGUGAAAUCUCUGGGCUUAACUCAGAAAUUGCCAUUGAUACUGUAGGGCUUGAGUAUAGUUGCCGUUGGCGGAAUAUGACAUGUAGUGGUGAAAUACAUAGAGAUGUCAUAGAACACCGAUUGCGAAGGCAGCUGACGAAACUAUAACUGACACUGAGGCUCGAAAGUGCGGGGAUCAAACAGG
rnacentral:rRNA from 2 species